rnacentral:rRNA from 1 species
ACUUUGCAUCCUGGCUCAGGACGAACGCUGGCGGCGUGCUUAACACAUGCAAGUCGAACGGAGCGCCAUGGAAUGAGGUUUCGGCCAAAGGAAAUGGUUGCUUAGUGGCGGACUGGUGAGUAACGCGUGAGGAACCUGCCUUUCAGAGGGGGACAACCAGUUGGAAACGACUGCUAAUACCGCAUGACGCAUGACCGGGGCAUCCCGGACAUGCCAAAGAUUUAUCGCUGAAAGAUGGCCUCGCGUCCGAUUAGAUAGUUGGCGGGGUAACGGCCCACCAAGUCGACGAUCGGUAGCCGGACUGAGAGGUUGGCCGGCCACAUUGGGACUGAGAUACGGCCCAGACUCCUACGGGAGGCAGCAGUGGGGAAUAUUGGGCAAUGGACGCAAGUCUGACCCAGCAACGCCGCGUGAAGGAAGAAGGCUUUCGGGUUGUAAACUUCUUUGACAGGGGAAGAGUAGAAGACGGUACCCUGAAAACAAGCCACGGCUAACUACGUGCCAGCAGCCGCGGUAAUACGUAGGUGGCAAGCGUUGUCCGGAUUUACUGGGUGUAAAGGGCGUGCAGCCGGGCUGACAAGUCAGAUGUGAAAUCCCGAGGCUUAACCUCGGAACUGCAUUUGAAACUGUUGGUCUUGAGUAUCGGAGAGGUCAUCGGAAUUCCUUGUGUAGCGGUGAAAUGCGUAGAUAUAAGGAAGAACACCAGUGGCGAAAGGCGGAUGACUGGGACGACAACUGACGGUGAGGCGCGAAAGCGUGGGGAGCGAACAGGAUUAGAUACCCUGGUAGUCCACGCUGUAAACGAUGGAUACUAGGUGUGCGGGGACUGACCCCCUGCGUGCCGCAGUUAACAC